GACGAACGCUGGCGGCGUGCUUAACACAUGCAAGUCGAACGGAAAGGCCCAGCUUGCUGGGUACUCGAGUGGCGAACGGGUGAGUAACACGUGGGUGAUCUGCCCUGGACUCUGGGAUAAGCCUGGGAAACUGGGUCUAAUACCGGAUAUGACCUUACAUCGCAUGGUGUUUGGUGGAAAGCUUUUGCGGUUCAGGAUGGGCCCGCGGCCUAUCAGCUUGUUGGUGGGGUAAUGGCCUACCAAGGCGACGACGGGUAGCCGACCUGAGAGGGUGAUCGGCCACACUGGGACUGAGACACGGCCCAGACUCCUACGGGAGGCAGCAGUGGGGAAUAUUGCACAAUGGGCGCAAGCCUGAUGCAGCGACGCCGCGUGAGGGAUGACGGCCUUCGGGUUGUAAACCUCUUUCACCAGGGACGAAGCGUGAGUGACGGUACCUGGAGAAGAAGCACCGGCAAACUACGUG
rnacentral:rRNA from 1 species